rnacentral:rRNA from 1 species
CAGCCGCCGCGGUAAUACGUAGGUGGCAAGCGUUGUCCGGAAUUAUUGGGCGUAAAGGGCUCGCAGGCGGUUUCUUAAGUCUGAUGUGAAAGCCCCCGGCUCAACCGGGGAGGGUCAUUGGAAACUGGGACACUUGAGUGCAGAAGAGGAGAGUGGAAUUCCACGUGUAACGGUGAAAUGCGUAGAGAUGUGGAGGAACACCAGUGGCGAAGGCGACUCUCUGGUCUGUAACUGACGCUGAGGAGCGAAAGCGUGGGGAGCGAACAGGAUUAGAUACCCCAGUAGUCCCUGUCUCUUAUAC